AUGCUAUGAUGAGGGCAUUUGCUUAGAAAAUCGUUCAAUCUUUCCCAAGCCUCAUGUUACCAUUCCCCUUUCCUUUGUGAAAAUUCUCUAAUUGAAGUAAGCAU